rnacentral:piRNA from 1 species
UGGCACAUGCUCAUGAAGGACUUCCAUC